ensembl:lncRNA
GGCCCUUCCCUGAGAUUGGCUGGCUCCCCAGAUUACCAGGCCUCAGCAGGGAACAUGAAGUUCAGGUCCUUGCUGGGCUGUUCCUGCCUCGCCCGUGGUGCCAGGCUCCCAGGCCAAGCACGGGCUGCCUCUCACUGGACGUGUUCCCCACUCAGGGCCCCUCCCAGUCCUCUACCAUUCUGCUCUCACAUCGUCCGCCUGGCUCCCCUAGCAGAGCCUGUCUGACCCCAAGUUGGAGGGGCUGGGAAGCCCCGGUGCCCCUGGCAGCUGUCGGGUCUUGUCUCCGUGAGACGGUAGCUCGCUGUGGCUAUCCUGCCCAUUGGGCUGGCCCAAUGCCUUCGAGUUCCAGCUGUGUCUCCACCUCCCUGAGGGACCUGAGGAGGUCACGGAGCCUCGCUUUUCCCACCUGCACAGUGGAGAUUGCAUUGGUUGGUCUCUGAGGGGCCUCUCAGCUCCGAUUUUCUUGGUGAAACACCAUUUCUGUGCAGCCAGCACGUUCGCCAGUUCCAGGCAUAUUCCCUGAAAUGUCUAAACAGGAUUCCAUCAGGACAGAGUCCCCUGAAACAGAGCCUAUGCCCUGUCGUCUGAGUCAUUUACCAGUGAGAGCCUGAUGCCUUGGGAAAAGCCCUGUGCCAGAUGACAGAACAUCUGCUUUCUGAUCUUGGCUCUGUUGCCAACCGACUGGAUUACUUUGGCCAGAUCCUGCAGCCAGAGCUCUUUCUCCAUGCACCGACACAGUUACUUACCACCCUUUAUCUGGUAUUCUUGUUCACAUUGGACUCCCCCCAAAUGUAUUAUCUUGCGCAUUGCGGCUUCUCAGUAAAUACCUUUGUUGAGUGGAUGGGUGGAUGAAUGGCUAGGUGGAUGAAAGACAAAUUCUGGAGCUCAGUUUGCCCAUCUGUAAACUAAGGGAUGGGAGUUCAAGCUUCCUAAGAUUUCUUCCAUCUCCAACCAUUUAUGACUAUGCUUUUUUUUUUUUUUUUUUUUCAUCACAAGCAGAGUUCUUCCAAAGUUGCUUAGAGCCGGCACACCUGGGCCCAUUAGGCUUUUGUAGAUUAUUUGAUUUAAUCUUCUUGAUUAAAUUGCCCAGGUAGAGACUGGGCAAUUUAUUGUCACAGCUCCAAAGCCUUCCUUCUGUAAUCAGUGAUAGGAUCUAAGAAAAUUAAUACUAAGCAUUCGUUGAGUGAAAAAUAAAUCACUUCCAACUAUACUCUGAUUUUCUAGAACCACAUUUAAGGAUGUGGAACAUGCGAUUCUCAUGGUACCCAUGACGUUUGCCAGCUGCUCGAAGAUUAUCCUCGAUGACAGGACAGGAUGUGUCCCCGUGGUCAGUUUCAGAUGUGACAUCUGCAUGUGGCUUUGUAACUUCAGGUUUUGGCUUAUCCCCACAUCCGUUGGCCCAUCAACGCAGCGUGUCUGGACCCCAGCCACAGUGUUAGAGAGAAGCUGACAACUUGGAAAGCAUCCAGAGGCGAGUGGCCAGGAUGGUGAGGGGUCUGGAAAUGACCGUAAAGGAGGAAUAGUUAAAAGGAUGAGGGGAUUAGCCAGAAGAGAGGGAGACCUGACAGCUGCUGUGUAUCCGUGAAGCGUUGUUACAAAGGGUGUUGUCCAAGCUGCUGAGACUAGAGUUGGUAUUUUCUCCCCUGCACAGGCGUCCUGAGAACAGAUCUGCCACUGAUGGCCCAGCCCAGUCCAAGAACUGGAGAAGGUUUUUUUCAACUGAGUUAUAAGAACAUAGAAUUGAUUGCCCACUGAAGUAGAGAAUGAAGGACAGUUGCCAAAGAUGAGGGAAAGGAGAUUGCCAUAGGCUGGGUGGUUGCACGAGGUGACUUCUGAGAUCUCUUUCAGCCUGGAGAUCCCAGGAUCCUAAAGAACUGAGCCCUGGAGGAAGGGAACGCUCCUUGCCUUGUCAAUUUAGAAACUGUCCGUGGGUCUUAGCUGCAGUUUGUCUCAUUCUGGCUGGUCUCCUUUAAACACAUUUCUCUCUUCCGUCGUUUUGUCCUUCCAACUGGAAUGACUAUAAACCUCUCUCCUCUCUGUCUUAAAUAAAAA